UGUUAAUCACAGUUCUAAACA
rnacentral:piRNA from 1 species